rnacentral:rRNA from 1 species
GGGAGGCAGCAGUAGGGAAUAUUGGACAAUGGGCGAAAGCCUGAUCCAGCAAUACCGCGUGAGUGAUGAAGGCCCUAGGGUUGUAAAGCUCUUUCAGUUGGGAAGAUAAUGACGGUACCAACAGAAGAAGCCCCGGCUAACUACGUGCCAGCAGCCGCGGUAAGACGUAGGGGGCUAGCGUUGUUCGGAAUUACUGGGCGUAAAGCGCGCGCAGGCGGUCUAUCAAGUUGGGAGUGAAAGCCCGGGGCUCAACCUCGGAACUGCUCUCAAAACUGGUAGACUAGAGUUUGGUAGGGGAUGAUGGAAUUCCUAGUGUAGAGGUGAAAUUCUUAGAUAUUAGGGGGAACACCGGAGGCGAAGGCGAUCAUCUGGACCAAUACUGACGCUGAGGCGCGAAAGCGUGGGUAGCAAACAGGAUUAGAUACCCUGGUAGUCCACGCCGUAAACGAUGAGUGCUAGAUAUCGGGUGUUUUACAUUCGGUCUCGAAGCUAACGCGUUAAGCACUCCGCCUGGGGAGUACGGCCGCAAGGUUAAAACUCAAA